ACAACACAUCACAGUGAAGUUAUUAGCAUACAUACAGAUACAGAUACACAACGGCUUCUCACGCCACAUUACUCUGCUGCACAGGUGCAGUUCAUACCUCAUACCACACUAAAUCAUCAGUACAGGCAUCUGCAGCUGGCAAAGUCUGCUCCUACUUUGGAUCUUAGUACCAUUUACAAAAAUAAUACUGUAGUGUAGUAAGUUAAGGAGAAAUUUCCAAAGACUUUGAAAAAGAUAAUCAGUCCAAAAGCAGCACCUAUUGUUCUGCUCAGGGCUUUGGUCCUAGCUGGGGAAGUGAGAGCACAGAAGAAGGGGAAGUAUCAGGAAACAGAAAACCCCACAGCACUGUGAUUACUGCUAUAUGUGCAAUUUCUCCUACCUAAAAUUAGUCAUGUUUUCCAGUCUCAGUCAGGAAACAGAAAACAGUACAACACACAGGAAAGCUUGCUCUAAUCUUGACUGCAUUUCUGUGUCACUUCACAACAUAAACUAGCAAAAAGCUAUGAUCAAGUUUACUGUAGAGCAAAGACAAAGAAAAAAAGUAUGCAAAAGCUUUAAAGAAAGUAUCUGUGAAGUACAUAACGAAGUACUGUAUAAUUUAAUGCUAUGUUAGCUGGUGUUUAAAAAAAAAAAUGCCAGUAAGAAAAUUUCAUUUGCUAUUAUUACCUCUUCAGAAAAUACUGAUAGGAGACCUUCCCAGGCUCUAAGCAGUAACAUUAGCCUUGAAAAAUUCACCGUUGUGGAUCCAAGUUGCUUUGUUUUUAACUUUGGUUUAUUUGAAACCCAUUUACCAUACCAGCCUCUUCAAUUUAGCACACUGAGUAAAGUCUAUCAUAUUUAGUUCUACUAUUUUAGACCAGGCAAAUUAAGCCAGAUCUGUUAACAAAAAUUAAAAGUUUUACAUCUUUUGCUUACACUUAGAAAUUAUUACCAGUAGGGUAAAAGAACCACCUUAAACCUUAGCAGGUUUGAAACAGUGAUUGAGCACCUGGUGGGAAGGCAGGGCCAACCCAGGGGAGCUCAGGUGCAGGCAGUGCAAUUGAGUGAGCAGAAGGGGUGGAGUGGAGAUCCACCCCUUCCCAGACCUCAUUUAAAGACUGGCAGUGGAGGCAAAGACACCUUGCUGGAGGUGCUUGUGUACCUAAGGCCUUCCAAGGACAUGGAACUUAUAUGCAGGAAGCCUGAUUACAGACUUUCAGAAAAUCUAAGGAUUUUGCCCUUUUUCUUCUAUAGCAACGUUGCAGUCUGUACUUCCCUACUUUGGCUGGAAGGAAGUUGCUGUGGACAGAAUCCUGGGGUAAAUUGGCACGAAUGACAUUCCCUGCUCUUGAUGAAAUGACUGGCUAGACAAGAAGGCAAUCAGGUUGCUUAGGGAUAAUUUGUCCUUAAGGUUAAUUAAGAUGCUUACUCAGUGCUCUUGCAUAUUUGCAUUUGGAAUCAGUAUUAGCAGAUAGCUUGGCAAAAGGGAGAAGAGCAGAGAAUGUAAUGGUAACUGCCCGAGCUACGUCCAUGCUUCCUAAGAAACAGCUGUGCAGCACUGCACUAAAAUAUUGGCUGUGAUGCUUGGAUGUGAGGCCAAUCACUUGCAAAAUUCACAAAAUAAACUUUUAACUUCUUGGCAAGAAGACUGUGCUUUCAUUUUUAGGUUCAUACUAAAAAUUAAUGUUCAGACAGAAGAUGAAGAGAAUUGGGACUACAUAACAGAUUUUUUUAAUCCCUCACAAAUUGCUGGUUUCAAACACUGGAACUUGUUAAUUCUCUUCCUCAGGCUGAGUAACUGUAGAUUCCCUGAUUGGAAAUGGAUGAAACUUAGGGGGCUUGGGAAGAAAAUGAGAGAGCAACACAGGAGAUCAGUGGAAAGCACUGGAUUGCACUGCAUGCAAAACAUGGUAAUAAAAACUUGAAAUGUGCCUUAGAAUGUAGCCCAUCUCCCCUUGUAUUAACAUUUAUCAAGUGUGUUGUUUGAUCACUUGAUCAUGAAAGCCUCUUAUUUAACUCAAAUUGAUGAGUGGUUGUCCCACAGAUGUGAUCAUACCAUAUAACUCCUACAGGGUACCUUAAGGGAAAGAAACAAACAGCUUUACCAACACAGCAAAUCACCUUAAUGAUGGUUCUUGUUUAUAAAACAGCUGGAAAAAGUGUUGGGGGUGGGUGGAGGAGGAAAGAGGUGAAGAGCUCAGAUGGUUACCAGGUGUGGCAACAUGGUGUGUCACCCUAAUAGCUGUGAGUCUUCCAGACAUGAAAGAACGCAGAAGAAAAAAUUACAUAGUACCAUAAACACUGAAUUAUAUCCUUAUGGCCUUUAAACUGAGUGUUAACCAACCUGACCCUGCAAUUUGAAAGUGUUAUCCUGUUUGAUUCCUGGGUUGUAUUUGCUCUCUGAUAUUCUAUAAUAGAGAACGCUGCGGAAUAAAAGCAUUUCUAUGGGUUUUAUGGUUAGAAUAUCAGUUAUUCACUUCAAACUGACAAUGCUAUAAUACUGAUGGAAAGAAAACUCUGAAAUUGAGAAGUUAUGACAGAUGCUGAUUAAUAAAAACUGGAGGAACUGUUUGCUCACAUUUCUAGUGAAAAACUGAUGAGUUCUGUGUGCUCCCUACGAUGCUUUCAUCCCAUGUAUAUCAGCAGCUGUACUAGAAGCUACCAGUAAAAAAACACACAAGGAAACCACCUGUUUGGAAGUCAGCUGAUAAACAAAUCGUGUCUUCAGACGUGUUGUAUCAUAAGAGACGUGAGAUGGAGUCUGUAAUAUUGAGUCAUGUGGAUUUUUUUGUGGUGCAAUAGUUUGGGGCUGCAAAUAAGAGAGCAGAAGCUCUCUGAACACAUAUAUAUGCACGCUGAAUAUGUGUACAACAUAUGCACUAUCUGAACUGUGCUGCUUUGCUUAUUGAAGACAACAUAAAAUGUCAUUUGGUUUAUG